UCCGGCAGCUAGCUCUCUGCAACUCUCACAUGGUUGCGCCCAGUAAGUACCUGGAUGGGAGACCACAUGAGAAAGCUAGGUUGAUGCUGGAA
rnacentral:rRNA from 1 species